AUGGACAUAGCUCAUAGAGACCACCUCCUUGCAGCCUUCCACGGCGUCGUCGCCGUCGCCGUGCUCCUCCUCUGCCUCCUCGCAGAGGUUCUCGUCUUCGCCUUGAGGCUGCGCACGGCGCUCUACCUCGUCCCGGUAUCUGCGAUGCUACUCCUCUGCUUCUUCGGGCGCCGCCCGGCGGACAUCGGUCUCGUCGACUUCUCGUGCCUAAAGCCGCCUCGCCGGCUGCGCCUCCCGCUGGCCAAGGUAAUCGAGAACUUCAAGCUCUGCGGCUGCUUCAACCGCGACACCGUGGAGUUCAUGACCAAGGCCAUCCAGGCCGGCGGCAUGGGCAACGAGACCUACCUCCCGCCGGCCAUGCACUGCAUCCCUCCGGCGGCUGCACACGCAGAUGCCAUCCAGGAGGCGCAUGCGCUCUUCUUCCCCACUCUGGACGAUCUCUUCGCCAAGACCGGCGUGGCGCCGUCGGCCGUUGGGGCGCUCAUUGUCAACUGCAGCGGCUUCUGCCCAGCGCCGUCGCUCACGGCCGUCAUCGCCAACCACUACGGGAUGCGCAGCGAUCUAAAGACCUUUAACCUUUCCGGCAUGGGCUGCUCCGCCGGCGUCGUCGCCGUGGACGUUGCGAGCAGCCUGCUGCGGUUGCACUUGCACUCCAUGUCCUGUGCCGUUGUCGUCAGCGCCGAGAUCUUCGCGGGCAGGUUCUACGUCGGCAAUGAGCACGCUAAGCUUCUCCUCAACUGCUACUUCCGCACUGGCUGCUCCGCCGCGCUGGUAACGAACAAACAAGGCAUGGCCGCCGGAGUGCCGAUCAAGUACCGGCUCGUCAGCUCAACGCGCACAAACCAGAUAGCCAACGACCGCAGCUACCGCUCGGGCUACUGGGACGACGACGAGGAGGGCAUUGCCGGCUUCACCGUCGGCCAGGGCGUCGGCCGCAUGUUCAGCGAAAUGCUGCGCGCGCACCUCGCCGCGCUCGGCCUCUCCAUCCUGCCGUGGCGCGAGAAGCUGCGCUACAUGGCCGCGCUGCUGCUGCUGUCACUGCGCAUACGCCGCCACAAACUCGUCGGCUCCGCCGCGCCGACGCCCGACUUCCGCGUGGCGGCAGACCACUUCUGUCUACCGUCAAACAAUCGGCCGAUAAUAUCGAGGCUGGGGCAGGGACUCGGGCUGGGCGAGAGAGAGGUGGAGGCGGCGCUCAUGACGUUCCACCGGUUCGGCAACCAGUCGGCGGCGUCGCUGUGGUACCAGCUCGCGUACCUCGAGGCCAAGGGCAGAGUCCGGGAGGGCGACACGGUGUGGCAGCUCGGCGUCGGGAGCGGGCUGAAGGCCAACAGCUUGGUGUGGCAGCGCGUCGCCGGCGCCGGCGGGCGCGACGGGAGGGGAGCGCUUGGGCCGUGGGUGGACUGUAUCCACCGCUACCCUAUCAAGGAAUCCUAA
rnacentral:rRNA from 1 species